rnacentral:rRNA from 1 species
UACGGAGGGUGCAAGCGUUAUCCGGAUUCACUGGGUUUAAAGGGUGCGUAGGAGGGCAGGUAAGUCAGUGGUGAAAUCUCCAAGCUUAACUUGGAAUCUGCCGUUGAUACUAUCUGUCUUGAAUACCGUGGAGGUGAGCGGAAUAUGUCAUGUAGCGGUGAAAUGCUUAGAUAUGACAUAGAACACCAAUUGCGAAGGCAGCUCGCUACACGAAUAUUGACUCUGAGGCACGAAAGCGUGGGGAUCAAACAGG